CAAAAUACAAAGAAACUCAAAAACACUGGGUCGCAUGACCCAGGACCGUGACAAUUUAAAGAGGAUUUUUCUUCAACCUUAAAGCAGCUCUGUCUAAAUGUCAGAUUGUCUGAAGCUGGUCUGCUAUCUGCUACUACUCACCUGCUGCCUAUCCACUGCUCACUUUAAAUAAGAAAAGGAUCGGAGAGAUCACCAACCUGCCCUACCUCCACUCUGAACACAAGUGGAUGGGGUGAUGCAGACAAUAAAACACUCACAGUUUGAGGAGCAUUGAUGACACCAGUGUUGUAGCCAAACUGAAGCGAGCCAAUCAC